UCCUGCUCGCACCGCUGCUGCCGGGCGCCGGAGUAAUAUGCUCACCCGAGUGAAAUCUGCCGUGGCCAAUUUCAUGGGCGGCAUCAUGGCUGGCAGCUCAGGCUCCGAGCACAGCGGCGGCGGCUGUGGAGGCUCGGACCUGCCCCUGCGCUUCCCCUACGGGCGGCCGGAGUUCCUGGGGCUGUCUCAGGACGAGGUGGAGUGCAGCGCCGACCACAUCGCCCGCCCCAUCCUCAUCCUCAAGGAGACCCGGCGGCUGCCCUGGGCCACUGGCUACGCAGAGGUUAUCAAUGCCGGGAAGAGCACAUACAAUGAAGACCAAGCCAGCUGUGAGGUACUCACUGUGAAGAAGAAAGCAGGGGCCAUUACCUCAACCCCGAACAGGAACUCCACUAAGAGACGGUCCUCCCUUCCCAAUGGGGAAGGGCUGCAACUGAAGGAGAACUCGGAAUCAGAGGGCGUUUCCUGUCACUACUGGUCGCUGUUUGACGGUCACGCGGGGUCUGGGGCUGCCGUGGUAGCCUCCCGCCUGCUGCAGCACCACGUCACGGAGCAGCUGCAGGACAUCGUGGAGAUCCUGAAGAACUCGGCGGUCCUGCCGCCCACCUGCCUGGGCGAGGAGCCCGAGAACACGCCCGCCAACAGCCGGACUCUGACCCGCGCAGCCUCGCUCCGCGGGGGCGUGGGGGCCCCGGGCUCCCCCAGCACCCCGCCCACGCGCUUCUUUACGGAGAAGAAGAUUCCGCACGAGUGCCUGGUCAUCGGGGCUCUUGAAAGUGCGUUCAAGGAAAUGGACCUACAAAUAGAACGAGAGAGGAGUUCGUAUAAUAUAUCUGGUGGCUGCACAGCCCUCAUUGUGGUUUGCCUCUUGGGGAAGCUGUAUGUGGCGAAUGCUGGCGAUAGCAGGGCCAUAAUCAUCAGAAAUGGAGAAAUCAUCCCCAUGUCUUCAGAGUUUACCCCUGAGACUGAGCGCCAGCGACUCCAGUACCUGGCAUUCAUGCAGCCUCACUUGCUGGGAAACGAAUUCACACAUUUGGAGUUUCCAAGGAGAGUACAGAGAAAGGAACUUGGAAAGAAGAUGCUCUACAGGGACUUUAAUAUGACAGGCUGGGCAUACAAAACCAUUGAGGAUGAUGACCUGAAGUUCCCCCUUAUAUAUGGAGAAGGCAAGAAGGCCCGAGUAAUGGCAACUAUUGGAGUGACCAGGGGACUUGGGGACCAUGACCUGAAGGUGCAUGACUCCAACAUCUACAUAAAACCAUUCCUGUCUUCAGCUCCAGAGGUAAGAGUCUACGAUCUCUCCAAAUAUGAGCAUGGAGCAGAUGAUGUGCUGAUCUUGGCCACCGAUGGACUCUGGGAUGUUUUAUCAAAUGAAGAAGUGGCAGAAGCCAUCUCCCAGUUUCUUCCUAACUGUGAUCCAGAUGACCCUCACAGGUACACACUGGCAGCUCAGGACCUGGUGAUGCGUGCCCGCGGUGUCCUGAAGGACAGAGGAUGGCGGAUAUCUAAUGACCGGCUGGGCUCAGGAGACGACAUUUCUGUUCUGUGGACUGUGACUGUUCGCAGGGCCACCCCACAACAGUAAGUAUCUGCAUCCCGUCAAGGAGCGGCAGCCCUGCUUCCCCCUCGUUUUUGGGCAAGACCCACUCAGAAUAGCCUUUUGAUAAAAGCGAAUUUGAAUUGAGUUGACUGGUCAUCCUCAUGCUGUGCACCCCAUUCCUUCUCCUUGGAAUCACGUCCCAGCAACUGAGGACCCCAGUUCCCACAGAUGCUCCACUUCUGAGUGUUCCUUACAAGAGCUGAAGAAGCAGUGGACAGCAGAUCUACCUGUUGCUUCCCUGCUGGGAGGAAUCACAAAGUAGUGUUCUAGAAAUCACUUCUCUCUCAGGCAGACGACUGCCCUGCACUGAGGGGCCCUGUAGAGCGACGUCCCAUUACUGAGUCUUCUUCCCGCACACUUCCUGUGGUAUCAUCACCAUCUUGACAGUUCUGCGUAAUGAAAACAUUCUUCCCACCCCACAAAGAAAAAUGUCAUUGACAUGAUUCCCUGAACUGCUGGAGAGCCACUUCGAGUUCGCAUGUUUGUUGAAUCCCUUCCCCAGAGGAGAGGACAGGAACCUUUCCUCCAGGAUAGUUAAUCACCUUCCUGGAGUUGUAGAUAUUUUAUUAGGAAAGGCCUAGAGCCUCUCUACUCAGGAAUGAACUCAUUCCACCAUGUGGAAAGGAUGCCCUGUCUGGCAGGUGAGGUACUACAGGAAUUCAUGCAUCAGCUGUUCGCCAAAAUGUUGCCCAGGGAGAAUCGGAUUACUACCUUGUCAGGGGGUCCUCUUCAUCUGACAGCCUCCCUCCUCUGCCAGUAGAUCUUAGCUACCCCAGAUGUCUCUGUGGGGACAAGUUUGUGGUAAACCAUCUGCUUCUCUGGCAGAAUGUGAUGCUAUGAGACAACAUGCAGGUACCCUACAGCAGUGUCAUCCGCUUUCUGUUCCUGCCCCGACUCAAAGUCUUGUACGAAUUGGAAACAAGAAGGUUUUUUUUGUGGGACUCUGAAUGGCCGACUUUGGGAAGCUGCCCUCACAGGCAGUCACCUCUUUCUCAUGUUCCCAUUAUCUUUCAUCUGUUUUCUCUCCUGGGCUUCUAUGUUGGUCCGACCUUGAGCUUUUCUCGUUUUAUUCGAGCCACCAGAGUCUAACUUUGGGUGUAGAUGUCAUGACAGCCUUCUACUCAAUUCACCAAUUCAUUUACUGCCAAGAAAUGUCUCAGGAAAAAUUCUAGAAACAACCCCCCCCCAACCCCGACUUUUCAAUUUAUCCUAAAGUCUUGAGCAUGUAGUCCUGCUGGUUUUAGUUAGAAUGGUAUCCAGGAAUUCUUUUCAUAAGCUUUUUUGGUGGAAAGAUCUUAGUAAAAGCUGAAGCCCUAUUUCUGUUUGGGGGAUGGGAGGAAAAUUACAAACGAGGUGAAUAAAUCAUAUGUGGAAAAAGUGAUUUUUUAAUGCCCAUAGCAGAUCUGCCCAGCACUGAUAUUGCUCUGUGAAUUGAGCUUACUCUGUUUGGCCUUAUUUUUCACCCAGGCCCCAUGCCAUCCCAUCCCACAGCAGUAACUAACUGUGUCUACAUAACAGGGUUGGCCCUUGGAGCAUUCCUGGAAAGGUCAAAAGGCAGCACGCUCAAAAUUCUGAAGAACAUAUUUAUAAGCGGUUCUGAAAUCUUGUGUAUCUGACUUAUAGCCACAUCUGCUUGUCCUAAUAGUCUCAGAGGAAAUCUUGUUUAAUAAAAAGCUUUCGAUUUCCUAGUCAGGCCUUUAUGGUUGCCUUGGGGUGUGUGUGGCCACUUCCUCUAAUGAAAGGCUCUUUGAGUUCUAAAUCUCUUUGUUGGGCUGGACCCUGCUCUUUGGAAUAUUUGGGGACAGUCUUUUCCUGGAAGAGAACAAAUUCACCCUCCAUCCACACCCUGCAGCAUUUUGCCAGGCAACAGCCAAACCUUUGUUCUCAUGACACCUGCAGUCGGAGGUGGACUGUCUUCUGCGGUGGUUAUGCUCACCUAACAGUGGUUCUCUGGUGGGAAGGGAGAGGUGAAAAUCGGGCGAGGCCGAGUACUCGGCUGUGUACUAGGACAAAGCCACGGAAAGUGGCCAUUUCAGUUACUUCCCACAGUAAACAGCUUUGGGGAAUUUGGGAUGUUUAAUUUUUUAAUUCUAGCAACUUCACCUCUUUAGGGCUGUGUGCUCACCUUUUUCUUACUCCUGAGUAUCCAUUUACUUCUUGGGAACAACUACAGUUGUAGGUAGAUAUUGGUGGGCGGAGAUGACCGUCCCGGUACCUGAAUUUGGCCUCGGAUCUUGGCCAUUAGGAUAGGAUUUUCAGUUUACCCAGAGCACUAGCAUGGAAACACUUGGAAAAAGACUCCCACAUCUUGAAAAUUCUGACUCUCCUCUUGACUGCACCUCCUUCCUCGUCUGCCAGUCAUUUUUUUUUUUUUUUUUAACAAGGCCAAGAGUAGCCAGUGGUUUCUUUCCACCACAGUUUGAGGAUCUAACUUUUCCUUAAGUGACCCCACAGCCCCAUGCUCUCGGAGGGAAUAUGUUAAGCUUUUAUGAGAUUCUAUUUUCAGUAAAUUACUGCUUCGGGACACUUGGAGAGAGCAGUGAGAGUCAUUGUCUAUGCAAAGAACAACCAGGCUGACACUAAAAUUUACCAGAUGUAAGAAAAGAGUAAAACCGUAUCUGGCCGCAGGACAGAAUUUUACGUUAGAAACUUGGGUUUUUGAGGGCUUUACCGUUGUAGAGAAACGCUGGGAGUCUGCAUACCAUAGCCCACCAUGAACAGACGUCGGUUCUGUGGGUGAUGUGGUGUCUGUGUGCACACUGCAAUAUUUCAAAGGACGCUACCUGAGCAGCCUGACUUGCCUCUUGUGUGAGCACUGAGGCAGCUCUUCGUGAGAUCUGAGUGCCCGUCUGCAGACUACUGCUCUUUCUAAUCCAUGAUGUUAUAUGUAAAUAGCUUUAAUUGUUCCUUAAUUGCGUCUUAGAUGAAGUCCUGUUCACUUAGCAACCAGGUAGACAGUGACCAAAUGAGGCUGUAAAAUGUGCUGUUGUUUUCUACUGUGAUGUACUUGAAGGACAGCCCUGUGUCCCCCAAUCUUUCAAUCUUCCAUCGUAUUUUAUGUUUGGGGAAUCCUCAGGUUAUUCUCCAUUUCCGUUUUGCCUCCAUUUUCUUUGCUUCUUCUGGAGACCCAGGGAGGCCCACAGUGGAGAUCAUUUGUAAGAAAUGUAUCACGGUCUGGGUUUCCAAAAAUGUUGUAUGUACAGUGAAUGAGAGGAAUCUGCCUGAAAAUGGUUUCAGAACCAAGUACCUUUAUGCUUUGUGAUUGUGAAACCUUGACUUUUGUAACCCAAAAAAUGAACACUGUUUAGUAAAGGGGAUCUAUUUUGUGUGUUUUGAAACUUAGGUGCAAUGUUCCCUGGACAAAGCUAAAGAAAUGUAUAUGCUCAAUGACAUUUUAAAAUAAAGUAUUAUAUAUAUGUAUAUAGGAUACCUUUAGAAAAAGUUCUGUGUUACUUCUUUUAACUCUCUAUGAAGUUUCUUCAUAUCAGGUGAUGAAAUGAGGAGUGUCAUGGACUCGUGUGAAGUUUCGAACUAUGAACAGACUCCAAAGAAAAUCAAAAGGGAAUGGAUGCCAACACCAUAAACCUUCACAGGAAUAGCAGUAAAGGCUAUGUAUUUCAACAAUGCAUCUAGAAGAAGCACCUUGGAUAUUAUUCCCAAGAAUUGCUCCCAAGAGGAGCUCGGCGAGCAAGGGGACGGAGACUGCGAGGGGCGAUCUGGACACAAA